UACGUAGGUGACCAGCGUUGUCCGGAUUUACUGGGCGUAAAGAGCGCGCAGGCGGUCGUUCAAGUCGAGUGUGAAAGCCCCCGGCUCAACUGGGGAGGGUCACUCGAUACUGAUCGACUUGAAGGCAGGAGAGGGAAGCGGAAUUCCCGGUGUAGUGGUGAAAUGCGUAGAUAUCGGGAGGAACACCAGUGGCGAAGGCGGCUUCCUGGCCUGUUUCUUGACGCUGAGGCGCGAAAGCUAGGGGAGCAAACGGG
rnacentral:rRNA from 1 species